rnacentral:rRNA from 1 species
UACGUAGGGUGCGAGCGUUGUCCGGAAUUAUUGGGCGUAAAGAGCUUGUAGGCGGUUUGUCGCGUCUGCUGUGAAAAUCCGGGGCUCAACCCCGGACUUGCAGUGGGGUACGGGCAAGACGUGGAGUGUGGUAGGGGAGACUGGAAUUCCUGGUGUAGCGGUGGAAUGCGCAGAUAUCAGGAGGAACACCGGUGGCGAAGGCGGGUCUCUGGGCCGAUACUGACGCUGAGGAGCGAAAGCGUGGGGAGCGAACAGG